AUGAAAUACAAAUUGACAGUUCAGAGUUGUUUUUCAGAAAAUGAUGUGGAGGUGCAACUGAUUACCAUUCUGGAAGUGUGUUAUGAGUGGCUCAGUGAAGGUAAAAACCUUGCCUGUCUCCAAAUGUGUGAAGGCAGAAUGAAUAUGGGAUAGAUAAAAUUUUCCCAAGCUUAGUUGUUACUCCAAGUGGAGGAGAAAUUUUGUUAAUAUUUUAAAGGUAUUGAUGAAUAUAUUCUGGUUAUAUUAAUUUAGAAUGGUAUUGAAAACUGGAUACUAAGUGUGUUGCUUGAAGUUACUUUUGAGGUUCCUUAGUUCUGGGGAUUGAAUCCAGGACCUCAGAUAUGCUGAGUGAGCACUCUAUCCCUGUGCUAUACUCAGAGCAAAUGCGUCUCUCCUGAGGCUGGUAUUGCCUUCAGUUUCAUACUAUUAGUAUAAUUAUUACUAAAGAGAACCUAACUGUAGUUGCCAAUUUAGUUUCCAUCUUUUAUGGAAAAUAGUUGACAUUGGCAGGAUUUAGGUUUUUUUUGUUUUCAUAUAAAAUAGUACACAUGAGGAUGUAUUUAUUAGGCUCUGUAAGAAACCAGGAAAAUUCUAUUAGCUUAGUAGUUUAAUUAAACUAUAUUCUGGCUAAUAAAUGAAUGCAUGUACUGGGAAGAUAUUCAGAGAUCCUAUCUUUGAGAUGUUUGAAGUACCCUGUGAAUUACAAGGUUUUCCCCCCUUACUGUCACUUGGGAGCAAGUCUUAUUCUAAAAAUAAAGGUUUUAGGAAAUAUUUUUGAUCCCCAUUAUUUUUAAAUUUAAUAAUAUUAUUUUUUUUGCUUUGUGUAAACUCAGAAUAGCCCUUAAUAUUCAGAACAUUUGGGAUAUUCUUCCUUUAUUUUAGUUAAAAUUUUACUCUCUGCUGAUUAAAUUCACAGUUGUAAAUGGGUUCAGUUGAUUUUCAAAUCCAUAUUUAUGUUAGUCAUAUUAGCAAUAAUUUUAUCACCAGGCAGUGCUAUUAACAUCCUGUGAAAGAGGUCAGAGUAUACCCCUCACUGUUCCACAAAUAUUCAGAGUCAAAUUGGUAGGGGAUUAGGUUUCAUUCAAAGCCAGUUUUGAAGGAAGUCACAAAAAGCUUUUAAUGUUUGUUUCAGAUCAUCUUUCAUAGUCUCUAGGGUGAGGAAAGAUUAAGAGAAGACCUGGCAAAAUGAGAAAAAGGCAGGAGAUAUAAAUAUGCAGAUUGAGUCAGUCUGUGCUAGACUGUCCUGGGCAGGGGGCAGUCUCCACACUCAACUUCCUUGGUGUCCCCCAGGCCAUGGGUAGGGGCAGCCCCUCAGCUUUUAGUCUCAGCAUGAGGAAAUUGUUCUCAGUUUUAGAGGAGACCCCAAUUUUAGACUUUUUCAAAUGCCCCUGUGUAGUUCACCCCUCAGUUCUUGUGGGGAUUUGGGAUCCAUGUCAUCUGACUGGCAGUCUAGUUUUGAGUCAGUGUGUAGAACUUGAACAUUAGGCAAAACAGUUGCUUAUUCCUUCAGGACUCAAAUUCUGAACUGUUUAAUAGUUGUAUUUAUGGGAAGGGCCUUAGCAUUAGUCUUUGUAAGAACUCUUUUUCAUAAGUCCUUGGCUAUAUGUUUUUAGUGAUGUUUGACAAAUGACUCCAUGGAUUUCCCCACCUCUGAAUGAUUUCCUCUGAAGUUACUACUGGUUAUUUGCCAACAUGGGGACCUUGUUCUGUUCUUUCAUCUAAGAAGUCCCAUAUGAACUUUUUUUUUCUAAUGCUGACGAUUGAACUCAAGAUCUUGAACAUGCUAAGCAUGUCCACUACCAGGGAGUUGCAUGUCUAGCCCUCCAAAAAAAAUAUUAUAAGGUCUCAUCAGAAUUUUUGAGAAGUUGUGCUACUAUUCACUUAUGAUUUUCUGUUCACAAUGUUACAUGUGAAAAAUGUAAAGUACCAGUGCAAUGGAGAGGAAAAAAAAAAAAAGCAAGAGGACAGGUCAUCAGGAAAGGGCUCUCCAAUGAGGAUGUUGAACAGACAUCGGAGGUGGUCACCUGGUGGAGCAAUGCAAGUCCAAGUGCCAGUGUAAGGACCAGCAAAGAGGAUUUUGAUUCAUUCCCCAUUUCAACACAGAUUUAAGAUUUUAUGUAUAGGGGCUUUGAUGAUGAUGAUGAUGAUGAUGAUUUCCCUGAAUUCUCGAAUCUGGUCGGUUUAAAGGUCAUAAAAUUCUCCUACAGGGUAACUUGUGUUCUCCUUAUCAGCAGAAAGGAAACUUUGGGGCUUGAAUAUCUCAAUAUAGUUGUUCGCUAAGGAAUAUAACAUAGACUACUGAAUUAGGUCAGGAAGAACUGUGGUAAAUUGUUUUUAAAGAAAGCAUGUAGAGGGUAGUGUACUGGGCCUACUUUGUAGAACUGUCCCCUUAACUUCAUGUUCCUACCACUCAUGUCUGUCUGUUACCUGUCAACAGGACUGGCUUUUACAGAAAAGUUGAUUUUCUUUGGAUAAAGAUGACAGAACUAAUCAGAUUGUAUUUAUUAGUUCAAAUUAUACAGAAUUAAUUGCUUUGCUCUUAUUAAUAUUUUGUAGUUUUUUCUGGCCUAAGAGCUAAUCUUCCCCCCAAAUCUGUUGCAUAAAAUAUAUGGGAGAAUGGGUGGUAAUUGUGCUUUGUUUCAAAUUCAAGCCACUUGAAUUUUUCUCCUAGCCAGAACCAGAAAUCAAUGCUAGGCACAUAUGACCCUGGGAGACAACUGCUCAGAGAGAGCCUCUGCUUCCUCAGGUUGCAUUCAGUGAGGCACAUGGAGCACAUCUCCCUGGAGGAAGGCAUAUUUCUAGCUUCCUGAAAUCAAUACACAAUGACUGUUUUGUAGCUCCAGAUAAAUAAAAUGAACUUUCUCAUCUACAGAUAUGGCAUUUCUAUUUUACUUAUAAAAUUUGGACCAGUUUUUGAUUCAGUCAUCCAUCCAUUCAUUUAUUUUUUGCAGUUUCUACUCUGCCUCAGCUUUGAAUGAUAUUGGGAACUCUCAACUUCCUCAUCUAUACAUGUGGCACUAAUAUGCCUUUCUGUAAACUUAGUGCAAGCUUGAGAAUGCUUGUAGAAUAUGUUUUUACACAGUAAAAAUUAUAAGGUCUCAAAGAUCUUAUUUUUAGUUUUUAUCAAUGAAUUUUUAGUUUUUAUCAACUUUUUUUUUAGGGAAAGAGAGAUGUUUUCUUCUUCCUUCUCAGUAUUCUAUUGUUCCCUCUGACUUUCCUAUCUAUUCUCUUCUCUACCUUAAGUUACAAGCAAGGUGUACCAGAGGGUGGGAUCUUUGGGUGCAUAAAUUUUAUCUCAAUAAAGCAUCAUUGAAAAAGAAUAUAUUCAGCCAAAUCAUCUAGAUUAUUAAUUUUUGCUUCCCAUCUUGAGGUGUGCUGACAUGGAUUUUUUUCCCCCUAAAAGACAAAUUUCAGUUUCCUCAAGGCCUAUGCCACCUAUAGAUAUAGAAAGGGUGCUACAUUCCUUUGGACUCUUUAAUUUUCACCAAAAUAUUUUAAUCACUUUACCUUAGAAAGAAAUACAGUAUAAAUCAGCUCACUUGAUACAGGCUGUAGCUAUGAACUGCCAAACUCCUAUAAAAAAUGGAAGACAAAAUGUCUGAGUUGCCAGAUAUGCAAGAUACCCAGACCUUAUCAUUACACAUUGCAAACUUGCAUUGCAAUGCCACACCAAACAUAGGAUAGAUGUUCAAUUAGUAUGUGUCAUUUAAAAAUAUGCAUUAAAAAUCUUGAUGAAAAUAUUUACAAAAUAUUUAAAAGCAUAAAGUCCAUCUAGCCCUCCAUAAAAUCUAGGUUUGUCCCAAAUAAGACCCAGCCAUCAAAUAGAAGGACAUGGGGCCACAGAGUCUUAGCAUUCAUGUGCAUCCAUAAGAUGUAGAACAAGGAAAACUACAACUACAACAAUCCUCCCUAGGAAGUGCACAUAGAACAUGUGCUAUUGUAAGCAUUAUGGAUCACACUGAGGGUGCUCUCUAUUGCCAUUUCUCAGUCUCCUCUGCCUCCCUGUGUGAUACUUACAAAAGAUAUUUCCCUCAAAAGUAAAUGCCAGGGGAAGCUGCUCUAAAGAGUCAGCAUGCUUCCCCUUUAUUGUAACUGAAUAGUGUAACUGAUCAUUACCUUUUAUUAUGACCUCCAGGAUGAAACUUAAGUGCAAAAGGGCCUUGUGUCUGCCCGUGUCCAUUCCAAUGUGCUCCCUCAUGACAUCUUUCCACUCUAGGUUGUAUUUUAUUUUGACAUCAUAUUUCAGCUCACUUCAAAUGUUUCAUGGGUGCUUCAUGAGAUAUAAAUGCUGAAAUAGAUUUUGCAUGUGUGUAUAUUGUAAUAAAUCUUAUGUAAAAGAAUGUGUUUCCUAAAGGAACUAGUGCAUAAAGUCCAGGAUCCUGACUUUAGACGCUCAAUGAACAUUUAUAGUAAAAUCUGUAUGAUUUUCUGAAAAAAAUAAGUGAGCAUUCACAUUUCUACAAUCAUAUAAGAAAAGAAAAUUGGGCAAUGUUAUAGAUAUAAAUAUUUUUAAUUAAUAAGAAUUGCAAAUUAAUUUUUGGUAUAUAAUAUCUUUUUGUAUUAUUUGAACAUUCUCAAUAUUAUUUUUAACCCGUAUUUUAACAAGUGGUUAAUUUUUAAAGUUAUUAUUAAAGUUCACCCAUUGACAUUAAAAUUACAAAAGGGAGCUGCAGACCUUUUUAGCAAACCAACCAAGCUUGUGGACAAAUAUUACAUCCUAGAAACAAGAAAUAAAAUAUGUUUGUCUGUCGUGAGUCAGCCAUGGGCUGUGUGUGUGAGCUAUGUUCAUUUGAACAUAUGGGAGGACUGACCUGGUGUUGCGUGCUCUUUGGGCCAUGCAACACACGUGUGCAGUUUCCUCUCGUUCUGCCUGUUUCCACACAGCACCUGAGAUAAGCGUGACUUGCCAAGAUGUCAAUCAAGCUACUGACCACAGGGCAUCAUGAAGGUAGAUUCAACUUCCUGAACCUGACCCCUUUGGUAUGAACACUCCAUGGAACCUCCCUUUGUGUGCACCGCACCCCUUCCAUAAAAAAUAAAGAAUCCAGGUGUAAGCUGUCUUUUUCCCACAGACCCCUAAGAUCAAGAGCCGUCUGGACUUUGAAAGGGGAUUUUUUUUGUGCCCUUUGGAAUCCAUACCUUCAAUAAUUUUGAUAUGAAGGAAGAACUUUCCAAGGCCUCCUAUCACAAAGAAGUUCUUGCCCCUUAUAUUUCCCUCUAUCCUUCUGGUAUUAUACCUCCUUAAAUUAUGUGUAAUUUUUUAAAUGGAAUGUUAAUCAACCAACAAGCCUAAGACUUUUAUUAGAUGCACAUAAUUUUACUAGGCAACAUGAAGGGCAUAAACAAAUACAAACCAUGCACUGAAAACACAUAUAAUCUGGUUGAGAAGAAUACAUAGAGACCUUUUGGAGGUGGUGGGUACUGGCGAUUGUGCUGAGUGGCAUUUGACCACUGAGCCAUAUCCCCAGCCCUCUUUUGUAUUUUAAGUAGAGACAGGGUCUCACUGAGUUGCUUAAUGCCUCGCUUUUGCUGAGGCUGGCUUUGAAUUCCUGAUCCUCCUGCCUCAGCCUCCCGAGUCGCUGGGAUUACAGGUGUGCACCAACACGCCCAGCAGGAAUAUGUAUUUUGCAAUACAGAAAGAUACAGACAGUCUCUCAUUCAUUCAUUCAGUAGGUAAAACCUGAUUAUCUCUGAAUAAUUUGCCUCUAAGUGUUUUUCCUCCCUUUUCCAGUAUCUAUGUUUUACAGGUACUCAAUAAAGACUUAUUAUCUGAAGCAAUAACAUAUAUAUUAUCUUUCCCUGGCCCCUUCCUCUCCACCCUCCCAACUCUCUCUCUCUCUCUGCUCUCCAGCUACCAUGAGCUGAGUGGCUUUCCUCUGCCAUGCACUUGCAUGACAUUUCUGCAAUAGUCAUCUGAUCAUGAACUAGGACAUCUGAAACCAUGAACCACAAUAAAUCUUUUCUCCUUUAUUCUUGUCAUGUAUUUUGGUGAAAAACUAACCAACACAGCAUUUGCAAAGCAUUUAUAUCAAGUCCCUAUCAAAUCACUAUUAUUAGUUAAUAAAAUAUAGUGGGUGUGAGAAAACAUUAGGCAUUAAAAAAGAACUACAUGGACAUGUUUUGAAUGACAUAGCAACAACACUCAUAAUAAUUCUAAUGAUAAUGGCUUAUGCUUUAGAAGCUACUAUGUGUUAGACCCUGUUCGAAGGGUUUCUUCAUACAAGAAAACUUAUUUAAUUUUUAUACUAACCCUCUAAUCCACUCUGCCCCUGCCUCUCAAGUCACAUACAUGUAUGCUUCAGAAAGAGUUUUCAUGUAAAAUAAAAAUCCUACAGAAUACAUAUGGCAUGGAACCAAUGGACCCUGUUGCUGUUAGAACUGCAUCCCACAUCUAUGACAGCUAUGUGACAUCACAUGGUUCAUAUAAAUCAAGGUAACUCCUGGAGCCCCACACUCCUAGAGUAUUAAUCAUAAGCAAAGUUACAAAGGAAUUGCAGUAUUUAAGGAAGUAGGAGGCAACAAAUCUGGAAAUAAUUUUUCAAAACAUUUCUGUACUAAGUAAUGUUAGAGGGCAGACUUUAAGCAAUACAAUUUCUAAAGCAUUUAAUUGUUUGAGUAUAAGAAAUAAUAAUAAAGAGGAGACAGAGUCAAGGAAGGUGUAGAGGCAGGGAAGAUAGCAGAGUGGCUCUUUGUCCAAGUGGCCACAUUUAUUUAUACCAGUAGGUUACAUUAGGUCAUUAGUAUCAUAACCACAUUAUUGUUUAGAGUAUCAGUAAGGUUGCUUAUUCUGUAGUUACAUUUCACAGUUACAAUAUGUAAUGUUAGGAGCUUUCUCAAGAAAGUCCAUUGCCUGAAGUUACUGUUAGGUGGGCAGAUCCAGGAGCACUGGAGCUUGGUGAAUCAUUGUAGUUAUCAAGAAAGCAAGUUCCUUUAUUCCUGGGAGUUAUGUGCCUACCAUUAAGGUGGAAACUGAUAUGACUCUAGCAUGGAGGGUAUUACCAUAGCAACCAGGCAUCCUAUGCCUUUGCACAGAAACUAAGCAUGCCACAGCCAUGAAGUCAUCAGGGACCCAAUACCAAACACAGAACCCCUACAUUUGAGUUGUCAGAAGUAAUUUUUAACACAGUUGUUUCAUCAGAGAGAGAAUCUACAGAGCUCUUGUGUUGCUAUUUCAGAAAUGGUCGCUGUUUCACAUUUUAAGCUAACUAGGCUGAAAUGAUAAUCACACAGUGGCUUUGGCCCUCUUGACUGAGGUUUCCUGCAGUGAGAGAGAUGUGAGGACUGCAUGGAGCACUUCACUGGCAGAAUGGUGUCCAAGUUCAACAAUAUGCUUGGGAGACUGCUAGAUGGAGAGGCCAAGGAUGAAAGGCUGGGUCAUGACAGUGAAAUCCACAGGGAACAGAUGCUGGUGCAGAAAGAGCUGGAGUGCUGGGAAUCUGAUGAUGCAGCUUCCUAGACAAGUCACAGUCUAGGCACACCUGCGGGACUCAAUGUCAGCCUCGCCCCAGAGGAUCCUGCCCUUCCUCCUCCCUGUCCACAGAUGGCACAGAAGGUGGAGUCGGAAAGAAUACAUUCUUCUACCACAAUGCACUAAUAUCCAUGCAUUGUGGUAGAAGAGAAUGGAAAAUUUAGCAGUUUAGGAGCUGACAGGCUGUGGUUUUGCAAGCUGACACAUAGCAGCUCCACUUACUGACAUUUAAACAUAGAGGUUUACGGCAGCUAACAAGUACUUGUAACCACAGUAGGAGAAGCAGGAAACAAAAUACUGGGAACAGAACAACCCCCCUUUAGGCUUAGUGUUGUAAAAAUCCCUAAAUUGUCUGAGCUGAGUCCCUAGCUACUGACAAGCAGAGUGUUUGUAUCCAUAUAAGUAAUAUAGAAUACAGAAUUGCAUCAACUCCAACAGAAUUGCAUCAACUCCCUUGCCUUGAUGUACACCAAACUUGCUUAUGUAUAAAAGUAAAAGCCUGCUGUACUUGGGGCUCAGACUUUGGGAAUUAUCCCUCAGGGCUAUGGCUACUAAUAAAGUGUUGCUUCCA